AGUAAUCUCUGCACCCAAUGUGGGGCUCAAACUCACAACCUGAAGAUCAAGAGUCGUAUGCCCCUCCAAGUGGGCCAGCUGGGCAACCCAAUAUUUGUGUCUUUGUAUAAAAAGAUUUUGCAACUGCUCAAUCUGCUCAAGAGACAGGAUGUAGCUUCUCCAUUAUCCACUCAUUGGAUUAUCUACUCCCUUCCUCCAUAAAAUGGGCCUCAGGCUCAGAGGCAGAAGUCACACAUUUUGCAGCAAGCCACGGGUUCUCACAUCAGGAGUGGAGGCAUCAGGACAACUUGGCAGCCAUGGAGGAAACUGUACCCACCUGUUCUCCAGACCAGCCCGUUCUGGGGAAGCUCAAAAGAAACAUGAUGGCCCGGACUUCAGAGAAGAAAAGACAAGUCCAUUUAGCUGAGUCCAAGCAGAGGGGUCGUGAAAGGGCUGCACUUCCUGUAAGGCGGACCAGCUGCAUUUUUGAGAGGCCGGUCACAAGGAUAACUUCUCAUCCUGGCAGUGAGACCAGGUGCAAUCAAUGGGACAGAACCUUGGAGAAGCCCCAGCAAAUCUGUGCAUACAGGAGACUGCAGGGCCUCCAGGCCUGCAGCAGCGAUGGGGAGACGUUAAGUACUUUGGACUUUACAAAUACCUUACAGGUAGUUGCGCUGGGUGGUGUGGGUGGUGCUGGGUCUCUACCUGGCAGACCUGAGUUCUGCACAGCGCCAUCUUCAGGUUGGGCGGGGACGGUCCCCGGGGUGGGUUUCUGUCCCCCACCACCCGUCUACAGACAACCGGUAACACUCGGAGAUAUCUGGAGACAGACUCAGAAAGUGAGAAAAGCAAGGGACAGGCUGGCUGAGGCCUUGGGGGCAGACAGGCUUGCCAGGGAGGCAGAGAGAGCCAGAAGCCAAGAGGGACAUUCUGACAACUAGAGGAAAAGUAGGAGAAGAUUGUGUGAAAGGGUCGAGUGGGGUGGCCCUGGGGAGGGUAUUCGUCAGUGAGGCACGUUCCACUUUCUGUGGCAUUGUCAACCCUGUUUCUCACUCCCUACCACAAUGCUUUGUUAGAGUAAGAUGACUCUUUAUUAAACUCUUUUGGGACACAAA